rnacentral:rRNA from 1 species
GAUGAACGCUGGCGGCGUGCUUAACACAUGCAAGUCGAACGGGAAUUACUUUAUUGAAACUUCGGUCGAUUUAAUUUAAUUCUAGUGGCGGACGGGUGAGUAACGCGUGGGUAACCUGCCUUAUACAGGGGGAUAACAGUCAGAAAUGGCUGCUAAUACCGCAUAAGCGCACAGAGCUGCAUGGCUCAGUGUGAAAAACUCCGGUGGUAUAAGAUGGACCCGCGUUGGAUUAGCUAGUUGGUGGGGUAACGGCCCACCAAGGCGACGAUCCAUAGCCGGCCUGAGAGGGUGAACGGCCACAUUGGGACUGAGACACGGCCCAGACUCCUACGGGAGGCAGCAGUGGGGAAUAUUGCACAAUGGGGGAAACCCUGAUGCAGCGACGCCGCGUGAAGGAAGAAGUAUCUCGGUAUGUAAACUUCUAUCAGCAGGGAAGAUAGUGACGGUACCUGACUAAGAAGC